AGAAGGCGGUCGAUAUGGCUCUCUCGGAAAUGCUUGUAUGACUUACGGGGGUGGGGUGGGGGGGGGAAGAGGCCUCACUGGAAAAGCCACAGGGAGGAAAGACCCUAGCUGCGAUCCUGAUGGGGGUCAUUCUGGAAGGUGAUGUGGGCCUGUUGCAGCGGAGGGAGCCUGGGCAGCUGUGACCGGUGUCUGCGUGCCCCUCAGCUGCCUGAGGCUACUCACUUCCUUGCUUGCAUGUGGGUAGCCACAGUGGCAAGUUCCAACAGUUUCUUCAGUCGAGGCCCCCACCCCCACCCCCUUUGCAGUUUGAGUCACCUUCAAUUUCCUGCCUGCCAGCCUAGUCCCUGAUUGGCCUGAUAAAUCCAGGACCGCUUUGAUUGCUUUUGGCAAAAACAUUGCCGGUAAGAUUUACGGAGCCAAAAGCUGGGACAAUGUAAUCUUCAGAGUAACUUACACAGUGAGUUUCAAAAGAUGAAAAGUUAGCGUUUCCGAGGUAAUUUCAUAAAAAGGAUUAUCAGAUU
rnacentral:lncRNA from 1 species